GUAGGUGAACCUGCGGAGGGAUCAUUACACAAUAUGAAAGCGGGCUGGCAUCCUUCGGGGUUACAGCCUUGCUGAAUUAUUCACCCGUGUCUUUUGCGUACUUCUUGUUUCCUUGGUGGGUUCGCCCACCAUAGGACAAACCAUAAACCUUUUGUAAUUGCAAUCACCGUCAGAAAAAAAAAUUAAUAAUUACAACUUUUAACAACGGAUCUCUUGGUUCUG
rnacentral:misc_RNA from 1 species